rnacentral:rRNA from 1 species
UACGAACCGUGCGAGCGUUGCUCGGAUUCACUGGGCUUAAAGGGCGCGUAGGCGGCCCUCAUAGUCAGGGGUGAAAUCCCACGGCUCAACCGUGGAAGUGCCUCUGAUACUGGGGGCCUCGAGGGAGGUAGGGGCGUGCGGAACUUCCGGUGGAGCGGUGAAAUGCGUAGAUAUCGGAAGGAACACCGGUGGCGAAAGCGGCGCGCUGGACCUCUUCUGAUGCUGAGGCGCGAAAGCCAGGGGAGCAAACGGG